rnacentral:misc_RNA from 1 species
AACUCCUCAACCCCAGUCAGGUUUGAAAUCUGACUGGUGGCUGGAUUUGGAGGCUUGUGGGCCGUUUCAAUUCGGUCUGCUCCUCUUGAAUGCAUUAGCUUGGACUUGUUCCUAAGGCUUCAUGGCGUGAUAACUAUCUACGCUUUGGUCUGUCUGCGGAAUCACUAUGGGUCUAGCUUCUAAUCGUCCUUUGGACAACAUUUCAAA